rnacentral:rRNA from 1 species
AUUGAACGCUGGCGGCAGGCUUAACACAUGCAAGUCGAGCGGAGAUGAGGUGCUUGCACCUUAUCUUAGCGGCGGACGGGUGAGUAAUGCUUAGGAAUCUGCCUAUUAGUGGGGGACAACAUUCCGAAAGGAAUGCUAAUACCGCAUACGCCCUACGGGGGAAAGCAGGGGAUCUUCGGACCUUGCGCUAAUAGAUGAGCCUAAGGCGGAUUAGCUAGUUGGUGGGGUAAAGGCCUACCAAGGCGACGAUCUGUAGCGGGUCUGAGAGGAUGAUCCGCCACACUGGGACUUGGACACGGCCCAGACUCCUACGGGAGGCAGCAGUGGGGAAUAUUGGACAAUGGGCGGAAGCCUGAUCCAGCCAUGCCGCGUGUGUGAAGAAGGCCUUUUGGUUGUAAAGCACUUUAAGCGAGGAGGAGGCUACCUGGAUUAAUACUCUAGGAUAGUGGACGUUACUCGCAGAAUAAGCACCGGCUAACUCUGUGCCAGCCGCCGCAGUAAAAC